rnacentral:ncRNA from 1 species
ACAGGAAGCCGGUGCGAAUCCGGCACGGUCCCGCCACUGUGACCGGGGAGCGCCCCUCCGACACGCCACUGCGCAGCGCGCGGGAAGGCGGGGGGGAACGUCGAUCCGGGAGUCAGGACACUG